rnacentral:misc_RNA from 1 species
GAUGAAGAACGUAGCGAAAUGCGAUACGUAAUGUGAAUUGCAGAAUUCAGUGAAUCAUCGAGUCUUUGAACGCACAUUGCGCCCCCUGGUAUUCCGGGGGGCAUGCCUGUCCGAGCGUCAUUGCAACCCUCAAGCGCGGCUUGUGUGUUGGGCUUCGUCCCCCCGUGGACGUGCCCGAAAGGCAGUGGCGGCGUCCCGAAUGGUGCCCGAGCGUAUGGGAACUCUCUUCCGCUCGAACCGGCCCAUUCGGCGCUGGUCGAACCCCAAUUUUUUUUUACCGGUUGACCUCGGAUCAGGUAGGGAUACCCGCUGAACUUAAGCAUAUCAAUAAGCGGAGGA